GUUACUGAGGGUGAGGGAAGCCCUUCCAGCCAGUUGCCGGGAGCCCUGAAGACGCGGUGGCGGGGCGGCGGGGAGCAGGGCGGGAGUGCCCUGGACUCCGCGGAUUCCUUUGGGGCUGGAGGGCCGCACACGUGUUUUACUCCAACUGUUUGCAACUUUUGAAACCCGGGCAAUCUGGCUUUGGCAUUUGAAAACCAUUUCAAACAGGAGAGAUUCCAAGAAAUGAGGGGGGUACGUUGAAACGAUGAAGAAAGGAUGGACACAGCAGUCGAGGUUGAGAGGUAGGCUCAGGGGUCCACCCUUGUGUGACCUUGAGCAAGCUUGGUGACCUCCGCGCCUCCGUUUCUCGCUGAUCAAAUAAGUAGAACAAGACCUCACAGGGUUCUUGGAAGUAUUACGUGGGAAAACACUUAUAAAGUGGCAAAUAAUAAAAACUCAUUAUAUUCUUAAUAGUAGUAUUACUAUUUGGGAAGAAAAUUGGGAAAUCAUUUGGGGAUUCAAGUUAGUAAGUAUGAUAAUUUAUCCUCUCCUUUCUAGAACUUAGAAAAUAUGGGCAUACUUUGUGUGUUUGUUUUUUGAUGGUGGUGGUGGUGUUUUUAGAAACGUGGUCUUGCUUUGUCCCCAAGCUGGAGUGCAGUAGCUCGACUAGC
rnacentral:lncRNA from 1 species